AAUAGAUAAACAUUAAAAAAAAAAAAAAGGAAACAAUUUUUUGGUCUGGCUAGCUUUCAAAGCCUUCCUUGUCUUUGCAGCUCUAACCGACUUGCACAUAUUUUGUGCUUCAAACCAGGCUACUUGCAGCCCUCUGAACGCCCGUCUCGCAUUCUGCCUUUGGCUCAAACUUCCCCUGGAGCAUCUUCUCUCCACUGCUGUUGGAAUCUUACUCACCUUCCGAGGUUCACUUCCAGUGAUAACUCAUUCUUCAAUGAAGAUUUCUUAAUCCUCUUAGCCAAAUGUAAUCACGCUUUCCCCUGAAUGCCCCAGCAUGCUCUCUCUAGCUUCUGGCACCGCUUUAUCCUUGUUAUAGAUGUUCUUAUGCUUGACUAUAAAGUGAUUAGGAUACUUCACUUUCUUGUAAGGGUCUCGGCUCCUUAGGAGAUACUAUGUUGAGCAUUCCAUAUGCUCAGCAAAUGUUUAUUCGCUUGAAAGCACUCGUGGGACGUAGGCAUUAGCAAAGUCCAUGGCCUAAAUGCUUCCUGAGGAACUCAUGAAUUCAUUUGUCAUCUAUCAAGCAUUUACUGAGUGCUUUUAAGUCCUGUGGGUAUAGAGAGAAUUUUAAACAGAGAUCCAACUCUGCAUGAUCUCAUAGCCUAAUCAGACAGCUAAAAUAGAAUAGGAUAGACACAUAAUAAGAAAUCAGAUGAUAAAUAAACACAAGUAUAAAGACUUUGUUAUUGCUGACUAUUAUGUUAUUGCUGACUAUAAUGAAACUCCUUAAAAGAUUCUAUUUUAGUCUUUGUAAAAUCCUAACGUUUAGAUAUAUGAACCCAGCCAUAGUAGCUUAGAAAAAGGAGCAAAGAAUUAGUACUUCCAAAUGCCUACUAAGUGCUAUGCACUAUAUAGACAUUCUCUCAUUGUCAGAAAUAUUGUGGAAUAUUAUUAGCAUCUCCGUUUUAUAGAUGAGGAAAUUUAUUUUAAGAUUUGUUGUGCAACUUGGGGAAGGUUGUACAAUUAGAAGUUCUUAAGCCGGUUUUUAAACCCAGGACUCUGAUAUCAGCUGGCCUGUGCUAUUACUUUCUAGGCAAAGAUCAGACAGCUACCCGAAGGCCUGCAAAUGGCCAACCGUGGUGCAGGUGUCUGUCCUAGGUACUGGAACUAGCGACACGGAGCUGUGGGAAUUUGCCCCUUGGCUGGAAGACCUAGACGUCAGAGGAAUGAGGGAUAUUUGGCCUGGAGACAAUUAGACCUAGAGGAAUUAUUGUACCAAGAAAGUAAUUCCUCUUCUAAGCACUCCUUGCCUGGUGUCUCCGUGCUACGGACGGAGCUCUGACACCUUUGGAAGAUCCUGAAAGAGAAAGAUGACAGAUGAGAAACGUCAGGUCUUCCUACCACCGAGGACUCGUGAGGGGCAUGAUGGAUUUUUGGCAACCAGCCUUCAACCCUAUGAAUGGAAAGUUGGUAGAACUUGUUAGCUCUUGCUUCCGUCUUGGUUCAUCUUUUACCACGGAGGCAAACUGGAGGAAGUAACCUGAGACUCUGGGCUCAUUUUCCUCCCCUGGGUUCAAGUUGGAGAAAACAACGCUAAUUACAUUUCUAACAGCAGCAAAUAAAUUUGAAAGUAAA